AUGGAUUCUCCUGAUUUCACUAAAUCCAGACCCACCGCCUCUCCCUCUUCCCACUCUCCUCCUGUUCAUGAGUCGCCUGUGUUUAGUUAUAUCAACAAUCUGUCCCCAAUAAAGACUGUGAAGGCUACACAUAUAGCACCAGGCUUCCCUGGACUCAGUUCUCCUCCUCUUGUGUUUACAUCACCGCGAGUAAAUCCAUACAGCGAAACGAGUUUCCUGAAGAGGUCUGAGAAAUCUGCGAUUCUCAUCAGGCGGUCUCAACAAUCAGAAUUAUCCGGUGCAGGAAUACCUAAACCUCAUGAUAAAGGUCCAGUCGAUUCUGUGAAGCCCUUGACACAAUUGCCGUUGGGAUUCAUUACCGACACUAGAGACUGCAAGACUAAGAAUUGUGUCGAAACUCAUCAGUGUAGCUCCUCAGAGUUUGUAGAUGAAUUCUUGGCUGAUUCCGCUGAUGUGGACUGUGUGACUUCUGAUCGAUCACUCAAUCCAUGUUUAGAACAUUCUAGCAGUGUUCUGGAGCAAUCAGGGAAUGACUUAAUCAAGUCCAAUGAACUCACAUUAACACUCGGCAACAGAAAUGAUGAUGCAACCAACUCAACAACAGAACCUCAGGCACCUUUUAUGAUAUCUGAGCAGGCUCACGAGUACAUUCAAGGAAAGCAAACAUCGAUUGCAAAGUCAACAAGGAAUGAAAAGCAAAGGAAUGAUGAAUUGUCAUUUAACGAAUACAGGAAUAUUGAUACUGGUUUAUCUGUCAAUAAUGCUUUCAGGAGAGAAUAUCACCAAGACUUGCAUGAUCGGGUUCUAAGAGGUGAACAUCAGGAUGAUUAUGGUUACAGCCCUCAAUCUCUAGCUGGAGCUUUGCAUAUUGGUCAUGUGUAUGAAGAAGAUGAAGCUGGUUCAAUUCCAAAUAGACUGGUUGAAAACGCUGUAAUGCAUGCUUCUAAGAGACGUUGCCUUCGGUUUGAAGAGGCUCCUCAUACUAGUGGUAAAGCGGAUGGUUCUUUGAGUUUUUCAGAGAAGGUUAGCAAUUCAGAACCACCUACCAGCACUAUAGAAACAGAGAUGGUUGGAUCAUCUUUUGUAGACCUAAGUGCAACUUGUACGAAGAGACAUAUGGAAGCCUCAUUGCCACCUCGGAGUACUGGAAAACCUAGUUUAAGCGUUUCCAAACCAUCCGGUAUUGGCUUGCAUUUAAACAGUAUAGUCAAUGCUGCAUCUCUGGUUCAUGGUGCAACAACCAUAAAAUUAGCAGACCGCAACAUGGGUGUACAAGUUAUGAAGUCGGCAUCUAUUAGUGUAAGGCGCUGUCCUAAUUUGUUGAAUAUGGUUGAGAAAGAUUCUGCUGGUGCAGUAGACUGGAGGAAUGAAACUGAGAGUUCAGUUGCUGCAAGUUCUGCCACAACCCAGUCUCCCCACUCUAUGGAGUUUGAGCAUCAUGGGUCUAUACAUGAGAUUAGGAUAUCUGAUUCUCACAGUAUAGACAGUUACGAAGAGUGCAACCAAUUGAGUUCAAACAAGAAGAGGAAAAGAGCACCGAGGAAUAGUGAUGGCUGUAAGCGCUGCAACUGCAAAAAGACCAAAUGCUUAAAACUUUAUUGUGAUUGUUUUUCUGCUGGAAUCUAUUGUGACACAACUUGUGCUUGCCAAGAGUGCUUUAACAAACCCGAGUAUGAAGAUACGGUUCUUGAGACAAGACAAAUAAUAGAAUCCCGUAACCCUCUUGCAUUUGCUCCCAAGGUUGUAGAGCGUGUAAGUGAGUUUCCACUAAUAUAAAUGGUAUCAAACGAAGAUGAGAAUCAAUUCACGCCAGCCUCGGCAAGACAUAAAAGAGGGUGCAAUUGCAAAAAGUCAAUGUGUCUGAAAAAAUAUUGUGAAUGUUAUCAGGCAAAUGUAGGAUGCUCCAAUGGAUGCCGGUGUGAAGGAUGUCAAAAUGCUUACGGCAAGAGGGGAGAGUUUGUUGACGUGGAUUCUGGUGUGGCUGGAGAAGUGAUUAGCCACAAAGAUGGCACGGAAACAAGAGAAAGCACAUUUGAUGAGAAGCUGCAGAGGGUGGCAACAAGGAAAGAUUCAAAUGAUUCACCCAACUUCACUCCGUUUACACCAUCAUUGCAAUGCUUUGAUGAUAAUUAUAACAUAACAAAAUCCAAGGUCCUUCCGGCAAUAGGCCGUCCAUCCCCUCAAUCUACUCUUACCAUCAUUUCACAUUACGAAAAAUCAACAAGAUCUCCUCAGAGAAAUUCAGAGAACAGUGAUAAUUGUAUGGACACAAGUAAAAUAUUAUUGGACGUGACUUCGUAUGAUAGGCAAGAGGAUUACGAGAACAUUGGUACUUUGGAGACUACUUCACCAAGAUGUUAUGCAGUCCCAACUACAUGCCAUCUUACUCCACUGUCAGGUCCUGGGUCAUUGGCCAUAACUUCUUCAGCAUCAUCAACAACAAGCGAUUUGAGAAAUGCUUCACAAGUUCAGCUGCACCCUGGAAGUCACUGCAUCUUGUCAGGUAGUUCUCUUCAUUGGCGUAGUUCACCUGUCACCCCUAUGCAUCAGUUAGGUGGGUUGAAAUCAUUCCAAGGUUUUGACUCUGAAAAGGGACAUCAUGACGUUCUGCAAGAUGAUACACCUCAGAUACUGAAGGAUACUUCUAUCCCCAUUAAGUCGGUGAAAGUGAGUUCUCCAAAUAAGAAGCGUGUUUCUCCUCCUCACAGCCACAUUCAUGAGCUUGGUACAAGCUCUUCGGGGGCCUUGAGAAGUGGCCGCAAGUUCAUACUGAGGGCUGUGCCUUCUUUUCCACCUCUUACCCCUUGUAUUGGUUCGAAAGGUAGUAGCACCAUUCAGAACAUGGGUAAUCCUCUUCAAGACAAGGAUUGAAAGAAGUGAUUGACACUACUGGAAUCCAUGGCGAGACGGGUGAGAUUACUCCAAGGAUCAUUGGUGGCUCUGAUUGUUGUACUUUGGGCUGAGAAAGAAAACUUUUCCAGACAUUCUUCUGUGGUUUGAAUGUUGUCAGGUUCAAAUAUGGUGACAUCUUCAGAUGUCUGGCUGUAUUCAGGCCCGUUCGAAAUGCAAAUCAUAGUAUUCAUUCUUAUGUGAAUAGGAAUGG